rnacentral:snoRNA from 11 species
UGGCUGUGAUGAUGUCUUAGGACACCUUUGAAUUACGCAUGAAAAUGACUAUUAAAGAUCUGAGCUUC